UACGGAGGAUCCGAGCGUUAUCCGGAUUUAUUGGGUUUAAAGGGUGCGCAGGCGGGAGAUUAAGUCGGCGGUGAAAUUUUGCAGCUCAACUGUAAAAGUGCCUUCGAAACUGGUUUCCUUGAGUAUGGAUGAGGUAGGCGGAAUGUGUAGUGUAGCGGUGAAAUGCAUAGAUAUUACACAGAACACCGAUUGCGAAGGCAGCUUACUAAUCCAUCAUUGACGCUGAGGCACGAAAGCGUGGGGAUCAAACAGGAUUAGAUACCCU
rnacentral:rRNA from 1 species